rnacentral:ncRNA from 2 species
AUAUGGCAUAAUAUAGUUGAUUCGCAGAGGAACCCGGUGUGAUUCCGGGGCUGCCCCGCAACGGUAAUGCCGCAAGGCUAAGCCCGGUCUACUGCAAAAGCGCCCG